UAGUCAUUGGUUGGAACUAGAACUAAGGUAUUGGAAUUUGGUUGUAGAGUUGAACUGAUUUUGCAUGACACCGGAACGGCUAGUACCGAGAAUCAUCUGGUUCAUAUGCAUGGGUAUAGUUUCUACGUCGUGGUGUACGGAUCAGGGAAUUACCACCUAGAACAACAAAGCUAAAUCCGGUGGAUCCACCCUAUUUGAAUACCAUUGGAGUUCCUGUUGGUGGUUGGGUUGCCAUUCGAUUUGUAGCAGACAAUCCUGACAUUUGCUGAGCUUAAAGAGGAAGACAGUUUGAUGUUAAAAGGAAGGUUUCAUUUAAAGAAGGAACCGGCAAUAUUAAGGAGUUGGGAGGAAAAAAAGGCUUGGAGCAAUCAACUCGAGAGAAUUAAGUUGGUACCAACAACAUUCUCGUGCACAACCUCCUGCACCCCUACCGUGUCGGAGAAAUGAUAGAGGCAGUGGCCCUGGUAGACCACAAUAAAGAGGAAGAUAUAGUGGCGACGAUGAGGGUCGUCGGUCACAAGGAAGAGAAGGAGGGGCAUCUCAUGUUUGCUUAGGAUCCGGAAGGGCAUAGAGAUCCCGGAUAGUUAUUAUAGUUCCAGGUUAUAUAGCUUACGGAAGUCGGGUGUGUUUGGGGUAACAGAAAAAAAAAGUCUACCAGCAGCAUUCAAGCUGUCUACAGUCUAGUCCUGAGAAGAGGAGUGCAUCUCAUCGUAAGGAGGAGGUGAAAGCCCUGAUAUAUGCAGUUAAGAAAGUCUUAGAAAAAGGUGCUCAUUCAGGGCGAACCUGCUCGUUUUCGCAGCCCAUCAAAACAUGAUUCUGAUGCUUAUGUAAGUUAUCUGACCACAUUUUUGAUUUUUAGUCUUGGAAACCAGAAUUAGUAAAUAAGCGUGUAAGGCUCGACCUAUAUUGCAUGACUGAUGUACGGUUUUCAUAAUGGACAAGUCGCAUCCUUUGAGUAAGCAUUUUUUUUAAGUUGGUGGGUGUUUGUGAACCUUUGUUCGAUUAUUACUUUGUUAAACUUAUUAACGAUGCACUUAGUGUGACAAUUAAGUAGUCUGUGAACCUUUUUUCAGCUUGUCAAAUGUUAAGCUGUCGGACUUGAUGAAUGAGUUAAAUAUUUUGUGAACCUUUUUUUUUUCUUUUUCUGUUUGUCAAAUAUUGAGGUUGCUGGACUUGAUGAAUGAAUGCGUGUAAAUAGAAGGCUUAAUAGUUCGUGGCAUGAGAGCUUUGUUUGAUUUUGCUUCACAUAAUUUCCUACGUGCAAUGAUUUUUUUCUAUUCUUUCUCUUAUCCUUUUUAAUGAUGCAUCUUCUGGAUAAUGGGAUUUCUGAUUGUGGUGACCAUAUAAAUUGUGAUUCUAUAGUUGUGUUGAAUGGGAUUGGUUAGUUGAAAAUUGUUGGAAGGUAGGUGUUUGUAGAGGUGUACAUGUUUGUACACAUGUUGGUUACUACUUAAAAUAAUAGAUAUCUUCUUUUACCUUCUUAUGAGUCCUAAUUGAAAGACCUGGUUGAGUUUCUGUAAUGGUGUAAACAGGAUGCUUGUGAGUCACUAACUAAAUCAUGUGGCUGUUGUGGAAGCAUCAUGAAGGAUAAGUUGUAUCAUGGUAUGUGUGAGUUGCAUCAUGGUAUGUGUGAGUCUAUAUGUGUCUUUAACACCUACUUCUUUUGUUAUUACUAUAUUUUAUGAAAAGAAGCGAGAGAGUUGCGACGUAGGUCUAUAUAUCCAUACCAUUUCUGGUUAAUAGCUAAACUGGUUAUGAAUCAAACACUCUUCCUCGAAAACUCAGAAUCAUAACAACUAAUAUACGUCUUCAGGUUGCUUGCUGGGAGCUCCAAAUGAAUAUUGAUUGUUAGGGGUGAACAUGCUUGUUAUGUGUUAGAUUUUAAAAGCAUACUUGUUACUGGUUCUUGGAUGGAUGAUCUAAGUUGUACGUGGUGUACAAACUGGGGCACCUUGUCCUGUUUUUGAAUUUUCAUGUUUGUAAACCAGUUUAAACUAAAGAUUUAAAAAAAUGAGAAUUAUAUAGUCAUAUGGGUACUCUUUUUGUAGCUCCCUGAAAGAGCUCUCCGAAUAUAUAAAGUUUGUGAAUUUUGGACAAACGGUUCAAAAG